rnacentral:rRNA from 1 species
UACGUAGGGUCCGAGCGUUGUCCGGAAUUAUUGGGCGUAAAGGGCUCGUAGGCGGUUAGUCACGUCGGGAGUGAAAACUCAGGGCUCAACCCUGAGCGUGCUUCCGAUACGGGCUGACUAGAGGUAUGCAGGGGAGAACGGAAUUCCUGGUGUAGCGGUGGAAUGCGCAGAUAUCAGGAGGAACACCGGUGGCGAAGGCGGCUCGCUGGGCCAGUUCUGACACUCAUCCGCGAAAGCGUGGGGAGCAAACAGG